rnacentral:rRNA from 1 species
GACGAACGCUGGCGGCGUGCUUAACACAUGCAAGUCGAACGGAAAGGCCUUUUCGGAGGUACUCGAGUGGCGAACGGGUGCGUAACACGUGGGUGAUCUGCCCUGCACUCUGGGAUAAGCCUGGGAAACUGGGUCUAAUACCGGAUAGGACCGCACUUUAGUGUGUGUGGUGGAAAGUUUUUUCGGUGUAGGAUGAGCCCGCGGCCUAUCAGCUUGUUGGUGGGGUAAUGGCCUACCAAGGCGGCGACGGGUAGCCGGACUGAGAGGUUGGUCGGCCACAUUGGGACUGAGAUACGGCCCAGACUCCUACGGGAGGCAGCAGUGGGGAAUAUUGCACAAGGGGCGCAAGCCGGAUGCAGCGACGCCGCGUGGGGGAUGACGGCCUUCGGGUUGUAAACUCCGUUCGCCAGGGACGAAGCGUUUUGUGACGGUACCUGGAGAAGAAGCACCGGCUAACUACGUG